GCUGCAUGGCUGUCGUCAGCUCGUGUUGUGAAAUGUUGGGUUAAGUCCCGCAACGAGCGCAACCCUUAUCCUUUGUUGCCAGCGGUCCGGCCGGGAACUCAAAGGAGACUGCCAGUGAUAAACUGGAGGAAGGUGGGGAUGACGUCAAGUCAUCAUGGCCCUUACGACCAGGGCUACACACGUGCUACAAUGGCGCAUACAAAGAGAAGCGACCUCGCGAGAGCAAGCGGACCUCAUAAAGUGCGUCGUAGUCCGGAUUGGAGUCUGCAACUCGACUCCAUGAAGUCGGAAUCGCUAGUAAUCGUGGAUCAGAAUGCCACGGUGAAUACGUUCCCGGGCCUUGUACACACCGCCCGUCACACCAUGGGAGUGGGUUGCAAAAGAAGUAGGUAGCUUAACCUUCGGGAGGGCGCUUACCACUUUGUGAUCCAUGACUGGGGUGAAGUCGUAACAAGGUAACCGUAGGGGAACCUGCGGUUGGAUCACCUCCUUA
rnacentral:rRNA from 1 species